rnacentral:tRNA from 1 species
UGGUCCCGUAGCUCUGGGAGAGCACUCGUUUCCUAACGAGGUGUCGGAAGUUCAAGUCUUCCUGCAACCGU